rnacentral:rRNA from 1 species
UAGGGAAUCUUCCACAAUGGACGCAAGUCUGAUGGAGCAACGCCGCGUGAGUGAAGAAGGUUUUCGGACCGUAAAGCUCUGUUGUUGGUGAAGAAGGAUAGAGGUAGUAACUGGCCUUUAUUUGACGGUAAUCAACCAGAAAGUCACGGCUAACUACGUGCCAGCAGCCGCGGUAAUACGUAGGUGGCAAGCGUUGUCCGGAUUUAUUGGGCGUAAAGCGAGCGCAGGCGGAAGAAUAAGUCUGAUGUGAAAGCCCUCGGCUUAACCGAGGAAUUGCAUCGGAAACUGUUUUCUUGAGUGCAGGAGAGGAGAGUAGAACUCCAUGUGUAGCGGUGGAAUGCGUAGAUAUAUGGAAGAAUACCAGUGGCGAAGGCGGCUCUCUGGUCUGCAACUGACGCUGAGGCUCGAAAGCAUGGGUAGCGAACAGGAUUAGAUACCCUGGUAGUCCAUGCCGUAAACGAUGAGUGCUAAGUGUUGGGAGGCUUCCGCCUCUCAGUGCUGCAGCUAACGCAUUAAGCACUCCGCCUGGGGGAGUACGACCGCAAGGUUGAA